rnacentral:rRNA from 1 species
UGAGCAACCUGCCCCCUACUUCGGGAUAAGCCUUGGAAACGAGGUCUAAUACCGGAUAUGAGCACCUGCCGCAUGGUGGGUGUUGGAAAGUUUUUCGGUGGGGGAUGGGCUCGCGGCCUAUCAGCUUGUUGGUGGGGUAAUGGCCUACCAAGGCGUCGACGGGUAGCCGGCCUGAGAGGGCGACCGGCCACACUGGGACUGAGACACGGCCCAGACUCCUACGGGAG